CCUGGUGGCGAGUGGCGAACGGGUGAGUAAUACAUCGGAACGUGUCCUGUAGUGGGGGAUAGCCCGGCGAAAGCCGGAUUAAUACCGCAUACGCUCUACGGAGGAAAGGGGGGGAUCUUAGGACCUCCCGCUACAGGGGCGGCCGAUGGCAGAUUAGCUAGUUGGUGGGGUAAAGGCCUACCAAGGCGACGAUCUGUAGCUGGUCUGAGAGGACGACCAGCCACACUGGGACUGAGACACGGCCCAGACUCCUACGGGAGGCAGCAGUGGGGAAUUUUGGACAAUGGGCGAAAGCCUGAUCCAGCAAUGCCGCGUGUGUGAAGAAGGCCUUCGGGUUGUAAAGCACUUUUGUCCGGAAAGAAAACCUCCGCCCUAAUAUGGUGGGGGGAUGACGGUACCGGAAGAAUAAGCACCGGCUAACUACGUGCCAGCAGCCGCGGUAAUACNUAGGGUGCAAGCGUUAAUCGGAAUUACUGGGCGUAAAGCGUGCGCAGGCGGUCCGCUAAGACAGAUGUGAAAUCCCCGGGCUUA
rnacentral:rRNA from 1 species